GGUAGCGUAGCCGAGUGAUCUAUGGCGCUGGUUUUAGGCACCAGUUAUUUUGAUGACGUGGGUUCGAAUCCCACCGCUGCCA
rnacentral:tRNA from 1 species